rnacentral:rRNA from 1 species
UGGACCUACGGGGCGCAGCAGUCGAGAAUCAUUCACAAUGGGGGAAACCCUGAUGGUGCGACGCCGCGUGGGGGAAUGAAGGUCUUCGGAUUGUAAACCCCUGUCAUGUGGGAGCAAAUUAAAAAGAUAGUACCACAAGAGGAAGAGACGGCUAACUCUGUGCCAGCAGCCGCGGUAAUACAGAGGUCUCAAGCGUUGUUCGGAAUCACUGAGCGUAAAGCGUGCGUAGGCUGUUUCGUAAGUCGUGUGUGAAAUGCGCGGGCUCAACCAGCGGACGGCCCAUGAUACUGCGAGACUAUUGUAAG